rnacentral:rRNA from 1 species
GACGAACGCUGGCGGCGUGCUUAACACAUGCAAGUCGAACGGAAAGGCCCUGCUUUUGUGGGGUGCUCGAGUGGCGAACGGGUGAGUAACACGUGAGUAACCUGCCCUUGACUUUGGGAUAACUUCAGGAAACUGGGGCUAAUACCGGAUAGGAGCUCCUGCUGCAUGGUGGGGGUUGGAAAGUUUCGGCGGUUGUGGAUGGUCUCGCGGGUUAUCAGCUUGUUUGUGGGGUAGUUGCUUACCAAGGCUUUGACGGGUAGCCGGCCUGAGAGGGGUAACGGCCACAUUGGGCCUGAGAUACGGCCCAGUAUCCUACGGGAGGCAGCAGGGGGGAAUCUUGCACAAUGGGCGGAAGCCUGAUGCAGCAACGCCGCGUGCGGGAUGACGGCCUUCGGGUUGUAAACCGCUUUCGCCUGUGACGAAGCGUGAGUGACGGUAAUGGGUCAAGAAGCACCGGCUAACUACGUG